rnacentral:rRNA from 1 species
GACGAACGCUGGCGGCGUGCUUAACACAUGCAAGUCGAACGAGUGGCGAACGGGUGAGUAAUACGUGGGUAACCUGCCCUCUUUUUGGGAUAAGCCUUUGAAACGGGGUCUAAUACCUACUAACGGGGGAUGGGCUCGCGGCCUAUCAGCUUGUUGGGGGGGUGAUGGCCUACCAAGGCGGUGACGGGUAGCCGGCCUGGGAGGGUGACCGGAAACAGUGGGACUGAGAUACGGCCCAGAGUCCGACGGGAGGGGGAAGUGGGGGAUAGGGCACAAUGGGCGAAAGCCUGAGGCGGGGACGCCGAGUGGGGGAUGGAGGCUUUCGGGUUGUAAACCGCUGUAGCAAGCGAACGGGUAGGUGGAGAAGAAGCGCCGGCUAACUACGUGCCAGCCGCCGCGGUAAUAC